GUGGAUUAGAUACCCUGGUAGUCCACGCCGUAAACUAUGAUCACUCGCUGUUGGCGAUAAAUUGUCAGCGGCUGAGCGAAAGCAUUAAGUGAUCCACCUGGGGAGUACGAUCGCAAGGUUGAAACUCAAAGGAAUUGACGGGGGCCCGCACAAGCGGAGGAACAUGUGGUUUAAUUCGAUGAUACGCGAGGAACCUUACCUGGGCUUAAAUGUAGAGCGACAGACUGGGAAACUGGUCCUUCUUCGGACGAUCUACAAGGUGCUGCACGGUUGUCGCCAACU
rnacentral:rRNA from 1 species